AAUCGUAAAGUCCCAAUCAGAGAGUAAUAAAUUUAGCUGAACUAUGCAGUAGAAACAUAAAUGUUCUGGAAUACCACUGAUGGGCCAGCUGGUUAAAUUAGGACUUGUUUGUAGAGUCUGUCCUGAAGCCUAGCUAAUUUUGCGCUUCAGAACAAAGUUGAGUUGAUGGGAUGAGUUGGAGCACCUUAUCCACCCAAUUUCAGCAAGAGAUCAACUUGCUAAAAGUUGGCAUCUCAUGUUUUCUGCCUCCCUUUGGUAACUUUACCAUGUUCUCAGACAAUCAGUUUCUUCUCACUUGUUUCAUUCUAAGGGGUAGAUGAAUUAAGGGUCCAGUGGAUUCUCCCUUCCAGGGUGUGGAUUGCAAGGGACAGAGAGAACCGGAGGAUUGGACUUUGCAUGUAUACUCAGCUCUUGGCCACUAGAUGGCGGGAGAAGACCAGUAAACAGAGCAAAGCCCUGCGUCUUCCUGGCUAUGCAGAAGGCGGCCCUUGCUCCACAUGAGGGAAACCGUCACCUGCCAGCGCCUGGCCAGCUCCCCAUUUUGGGUAAGUUACUAAGGAGAGAAAUCAUUUUCUCUUUUCUCUAGAAUCCCCUGUAAAACAAUAAGAGGUGCUGGCCCAAACAAGUGAAUUCUAUGAACCUUAAUAGUGAAGGCAACCACCAGGGAUGGGUAGGCGUUUCCGCUGCUUCCUCUCACUCUCUGCCUCUCUUUCUCCAUCUGCAAAGUGGGGGUCCUGGUUCUGGCCUACCUUGCCGUGACAGAGCAGGUAAGAGAACUGCCCUGAGUGCCACAGGUGAAAGGUGUUUUGCUGGGAAGACUGGCGUCAGGGCACCAGUCCAGCCUGACGUCCAGCCCUCUCGGAGCCUUCUGGGAACAGUGAAGUGCCCUGUGAUUCAGGUGACUGUGGUCCCUAGGAUGGAAGAUAGUGACAAGCCCUCGCCAGAAAGAGGUGUUUCUUGACAAGUGCCAGAGGCAGUGGAGAAGGAUGUUUCCUUUGUUGGGGGCACUCUGGGGUGGAUGGAUUUGGAGGCAGGGGCUGUGGCUGAGACCUCAGUCUUGUUCAGACCCCACCAGAUUGUCUGAACCUCAACUCCCCCCACCUGAAGGUCAUGCCUGUCUCAUAAACCUUCACAGACUUGGCCAAAGUGAAAAAAACAAACAAACAUUAAUUCCAGUCUGAAUAGAUUUUGUACAUAACCAUGUGUGGCAGUUAGAAAUGGGUGCUUCCUGGUCCUUCAUUUUCAAUUUCUCCCUUUUCUCAGGGUAUCUUCUUGCCCUCUCAGGGAAACGUGUUCCUCUCUGGGCUUAGAGGAACCUCGUGGCGUUCGAGGUGCGAGCGGAGGGAGCCCCCUCCGGUCCGUUUCUGGUCAGCCAGCUUGGGCUUCUUUCUGCGUCAUCCUAUCUCAUACACAUCACUGGUAUUUCUUAGCAUCUUAGGCUGUAAGGGAAGCAACAUAACUGGGGUCACUUUGUGUGUUCAUUUUAAUCAAGAGAUUCUUCUUGAGACUUUACCGAAGUUCUUUCUGUUCCCAUCCUGACCCUCCAAAUAUCUUACACAUCGUGGCUGGGAGGUGAAAAUUAAAACAAACUGGAGACUUCACAGUUACUAGGAUGAAGGCAAUGGCACCCCACUCCAGUACUCUUGCCUGGAAAAUCCCGUGGAUGGAGGAG
ensembl:lncRNA